UACGAAGGGGGCUAGCGUUGCUCGGAAUUACUGGGCGUAAAGCGCACGUAGGCGGUCUUUUAAGUCGGGGGUGAAAUCCUGGAGCUCAACUCCAGAACUGCCUUCGAUACUGGAAGACUCGAGUCCGGGAGAGGUGAGUGGAACUGCGAGUGUAGAGGUGAAAUUCGUAGAUAUCGCAAGAACACCAGUGGCGAAGGCGGCUCACUGGCCCGGUACUGACGCUGAGGUGCGAAAGCGUGGGGAGCAAACAGG
rnacentral:rRNA from 1 species